AGGUUCCUUUUAAAUCUAAAUCCUGUGAUUCUAUUGUAGUGGACAUGACCACAGAAUAUUUUCCCACUAGGUUUUCUUUCUGCUAUGUUGGUAGCAUUCAGCCCACUGGGAACAUUU